rnacentral:lncRNA from 1 species
CCAUUAAAAAGUUAUGGAUUCCACUCUCUCCACAAAUUUCCAUUUUUUGCCUUGAUCUAUUUAAUUGCGACAAGUUUAAUGCAGAAAGCCAAAGGGAAACCAUGCCUCACCACUCAUAUUUUGACCAUUGUUAUGCUUCCCUUUUUUCGGUUUGUUGGAUAAAUGAGCUUUCUUCAUGCUACGUUAGAAUGGGAGAUAAACAGGUAAAAGAGAAAGGAUAAAUGUAAAAUAAAGAAUGCAGUCGAAUCCUAAUUUUUGCGGCUCACAAUCAAUUUCCUAUUUUGAUUUGUUGUACAAAAGAGCUUUCUUUACGCUACAUUAUAAUGGUAGAUAGCAUAUACAGGUGAAAGAACCAGGAUAAAUGUAAAAGAAGGAAUAGUUGAAUUAUAACUU